rnacentral:rRNA from 1 species
UGUCUCAAAGAUUAAGCCAUGCAUGUCUGAGUAUAAGCCAUUAUACGGCGAAACUGCGAAUGGCUCAUUAUAUAAGUUAUUGUUUAUUUGAUAGUACCUUGCCUACUUGGAUAACCGUGGCAAUUCUAGAGCUAAUACAUGCGGAAGCUGCCGACUUCGGGAGGCGCGUAUUUAUUAGAUUAAAAGCCAAUGCCCCCCGGGGCUCACUGGUGAUUCAUGAUAACUCCUCGAAUCGCACGGCCUUGCGCCGGCGAUGGUUCAUUCAAAUUUCUUCCCUAUCAACUUUCGAUGUUUGGGUAGUGGCCAAACAUGGUGACAACGGGUAACGGAGGGUCAUCGCUCGACCCCGGAGAAGGAGCCUGAGAGACGGCUACUACAUCCAAGGAAGGCAGCAGGCGCGCAAAUUACCCAAUCCCGACGCGGGGAGGUAGUGACAAUAAAUACUGAUACAGGGCCCUUUCGGGUCUUGUAAUUGGAAUGAGUACAACCUAAAUCCCUUAACGAGGAACAAUUGAAGGGCAAGUCUGGUGCCAGCAGCCGCGGUAAUUCCAGCUUCAAUAGCGUAUCUGCAUGAUGUUGUGGUUAAAAAGCUCGUAGUUGAACCUUGGGCCUGGCGGGCUGGUCCGCCUCACCGCGUGCACUAGUCCCGCCGGGCCUUUCCCUCUGCGGAACCCCAUGCCCUUCGCUGGGCGUGGCGGGGAAACAGGACGUUUACCGUGAAAAAAUUAGAGUGCUCCAGGCAGGCUUAUGCUCGAAUACAUUAGCAUGGAAUAAUGAAAUAGGACGCGCGGUUCUAUUUUGUUGGUUUCAGGGACCGCCGUAAUGAUUAAUAGGGACAGUCGGGGGCAUCAGUAUUCAAUUGUCAGAGGUGAAAUUCUUGGAUUUAUUGAAGACUAACUACUGCGAAAGCAUCUGCCAAGGAUGUUUUCAUUAAUCAGGAACGAAAGUUAGGGGAUCGAAGACGAUCAGAUACCGUCGUAGUCUUAACCAUAAACUAUGCCGACUAGGGAUCGGACGAUGUUUUUACUUGACUCGUUCGGCACCUUACGAGAAAUCAAAGUGCUUGGGCUCCAGGGGGAG